UAAAUUUAAGUUUCUAUUUAUAAAUUAUGAAGGUAUAAAAAUAAGAAGUAAAUAAUUAAAACAAAUAAUUGAAUAAAUUUUAUGUCAAAGAUAACUUGGUUACUAAAUCAAGGAUUUGAGCCUCACAAAGGCUCACAAGUUAUAUACAUGGAUGUCUUAAAGAGGCCACAAGGCUUUAGCCUUAUCUUCUUAACUAUAUUGAAGGUGCUACAACCUA
rnacentral:lncRNA from 1 species